AUAUAGUAUUGUGACAGUAAUCCAACUUGGUACGAGAGGAUUAGUUGGUUCAGACAAUUGGUACAGCAAUUGGUUGAUAAGCCAGUGUUGCGAAGCUAAGUCUGUUGGAUAAUGACUGAACGCCUCUUAAGUCAGAACCCAUACUGAUUAGACAAUUUUAUAUUGUUCUUUUUGUUUAAAUAUAAAAAUAUUAUUAUUUUUUUUUACUGCUAAUGUAAAUGAGAAAUUAUACAUAUAUUAGAAAAAAAAUGUAAUUAAUUGUUUUUUUUUCGCUUUAUAAUAUAUCAAUAAUCCUAUCUUUUUAUAUAUAUGUAUGUGUAUACAUAUAUAUAUAUGUAUAUAUAAAUAGAUUGUAAUUUAACAACAAAAAGUGUUAAGCAUAUUGUAGACGACUUUUCAGUCUCAGAGUGCUGUAAACAUGAGAGUAAACUAAGUUUUACGAUCUGUUGAGGCUUAUCUCUUGUGACAAUUAGCUAUU
rnacentral:ncRNA from 1 species